UCUGAAAAAAGACGUCCCUAGUUCGGAUUGUAGGCUGAAACUCGCCUACAUGAAGCUGGAAUUGCUAGUAAUCACAGGUCAGCAUACUGUGGUGAAUACGUUCCCGGGCCUUGUACACACCGCCCGUCACACCAUGAGAGUUGAGAAUACCCGAAGCCCAUGUCAAAGUGGUCCAACCUCGUGAGGACGCUGCCGAAGGUAGGAUUGGCGACUGGGGUGAAGUCGUAACAAGGUACC
rnacentral:rRNA from 1 species